AUUGAACGCUGGCGGCAGGCCUAACACAUGCAAGUCGAACGAGUGGCGGACGGGUGAGUAAUGUCUGGGAAAAUGCCUGAUGGAGGGGGAUAACUACUGGAAACGGUAGCUAAUACAGCAUACCAUCAGAUGUGCCCAGAGGGGAGUAGCUAGUUGGGGGGGUAACGGCUCACCAAGGAGACGACCCCUAGCUGGUCUGAGAGGAUGACCAGCCACCCUGGAACUGAGCCACGGUCCAGACUCCUACGGGAGGCAGCAGUGGGUAAUAUUGCACAAUGGGCGCAAGCCUGAUGCAGCCCUGCCGCGUGUAUGAAGAAGGCCUUCGGGUUGUAAAGUACUUUCAGCGGGGAGGCGUUACCCGCAGAAGAAGCACCGGCUAACUCCGUGCCAGCAGCCGCGGUAAUAC
rnacentral:rRNA from 1 species